GACGAACGCUGGCGGCGUGCUUAACACAUGCAAGUCGAACGGAAAGGCCCUGCUUUUGUGGGGUGCUCGAGUGGCGAACGGGUGAGUAACACGUGAGUAACCUGCCCUUGACUGUGGGAUAACUUCAGGAAACUGGGGCUAAUACCGGAUAGGAGCUCCUGCUGCAUGGUGGGGGUUGGAAAGUUUCGGCGGUUGGGGAUGGACGCGCGGCUUAUCAGCUUGUUGGUGGGGUAGUGGCUUACCAAGGCUUUGACGGGUAGCCGGCCUGAGAGGGUGACCGGCCACCUUGGGCCUGCGAUAGGGCCCAGUCUCCUACGGGAGGCAGCGGUGGGGAAUAUUGCCCAACGGGCCGACGCCUGGUACGGCGGCGCCGCGUGCGGGAUGUCGGCCUUCGGGUUGUGAACCGCUUUCGCCUGUGACGAAGCGUGAGUGACGGUACUGGGUAAAGAAGCACCGGCUAACUACGUG
rnacentral:rRNA from 1 species